rnacentral:rRNA from 1 species
UGGGGUCCUUUAGAGGAAGUAAGCAUAUCAAUGAGCGGAGGAAGUCUGGUCAUUUAGAGGAAGUAAAAGUCGUAACAAGGUUUCCGUAGGUGAACUGCGGAAGGAUCAUUAGUGAAUCUUCAAAAGUCGGCUCUGUGGAUUGUGUGGUGGAGACACAUGUGCACGUCCGCAAGGUCGCAAACCCCACACACCUUGCAUCUAUGACUCUGAGUGCCGCUUUGCAUGGCCUUGACCGGCCUGGCCUCGAGUACUUUCACACACUCUUGAAUGUAACGGAAUGUCUUGUUGUGCUAACGUACAAACAGAAACAACUUUCAACAACGGAUCUCUUGGCUCUCGCUCGAUGAAGAACGCAGCGAAAUGCGAUAAGUAAUGUGAAUUGCAGAAUUAGUGAAUCAUCGAAUCUUUGAACGCACCUUGCACCCUUUGGUAUUCCGAGGGUACGCCCGUUUGAGUGUCAUUGUAAUCUCACUACCAUCGACUUUGGCUUUUGGUAUGUGGACGUGGAUGUUGCCGUUGAUGUCUACGGCUCGUCUAAAUGCUUCAGUGUACCCCGCUUUGCGGCGUAUUCGGUGUGAUACAUCUCACCGGAGUUGAUCCUUUUGGGGGUCGCGUCUGUAAUGUGUGGCUCUAUCUUCCAACCGUCUCUCGAGACAAUCUCUGACAAUUUGACCUCAAAUCGGUGGGACUACCCGCUGAACUUAAGCAUAUCAAUAAGCGGAGGA